rnacentral:rRNA from 1 species
UGGUGUAGCGGUGAAAUGCUUAGAUAUCACGAAGAACUCCGAUUGCGAAGGCAGCACACUAAGCCGUAACUGACGUUCAUGCUCGAAAGUGUGGGUAUCAAACAGGAUUAGAUACCCUGGUAGUCCACACGGUAAACGAUGAAUACUCGCUGUUGGCGAUAUACGGUCUGCGGCCAAGCGAAAGCAUUAAGUAUUCCACCUGGGGAGUACGCCGGCAACGGUGAAACUCAAAGGAAUUGACGGGGGCCCGCACAAGCGGAGGAACAUGUGGUUUAAUUCGAUGAUACGCGAGGAACCUUACCCGGGCUUAAAUUGCAAAGGAAUAAUCUGGAAACAGGUUAGUCUUCGGACCUUUGUGAAGGUGCUGCAUGGUUGUCGUCAGCUCGUGCCGUGAGGUGUCGGCUUAAGUGCCAUAACGAGCGCAACCCUUGCCACUAGUUACUAACAGGUGAUGCUGAGGACUCUGGUGGGACUGCCAGCGUAAGCUGCGAGGAAGGCGGGGAUGACGUCAAAUCAGCACGGCCCUUACAUCCGGGGCGACACACGUGUUACAAUGGCGUGGACAAAGGGAGGCCACCUGGCGACAGGGAGCGAAUCCCCAAACCACGUCUCAGUUCGGAUCGGAGUCUGCAACCCGACUCCGUGAAGCUGGAUUCGCUAGUAAUCGCGCAUCAGCCAUGGCGCGGUGAAUACGUUCCCGGGCCUUGUACACACCGCCCGUCAAGCCAUGGGAGCCGGGGGUACCUGAAGUGCGUAACCGCGAGGAGCGCCCUAGGGUAAAACUGGUGACUGGGGCUAAGUCGUAACAAGGUAGCCGUACCGGAAGGUGCGGCUG